rnacentral:misc_RNA from 1 species
UACGGAGAGAGCUAACGUUGCUCGGAAUCACUGGGCAUAAAGGGCGCGUAGGCGGGCUGGUCAGUCGGGUGUGAAAUCCCCGGGCUCAACCUGGGAAUGGCAUCCGAUACUGCCGGCCUUGAGCGUAGGAAGGGAGAGCGGAACUCCUGGUGGAGCGGUGAAAUGCUUUGAUAUCAGGAGGAACGCCGGUGGCGAAAGCGGCUCACUGGCCUACUGCUGACGCUGAGGCGCGAAAGCCAGGGGAGCAAACGGG